rnacentral:rRNA from 1 species
GAUGAACGCUGGCGGCGUGCCUAACACAUGCAAGUCGAGCGAUCUUCUUCGGAAGAGAGCGGCGGACGGGUGAGUAACGCGUGGGUAACCUGCCCUGUACACACGGAUAACAUACCGAAAGGUAUGCUAAUACGAGAUGAUAUGCUUUUAUCGCAUGGUAGAAGUAUCAAAGCUCCGGCGGUACAGGAUGGACCCGCGUCUGAUUAGCUAGUUGGUAAGGUAACGGCUUACCAAGGCGACGAUCAGUAGCCGACCUGAGAGGGUGAUCGGCCACAUUGGAACUGAGACACGGUCCAAACUCCUACGGGAGGCAGCAGUGGGGAAUAUUGCACAAUGGGCGAAAGCCUGAUGCAGCAACGCCGCGUGAGCGAUGAAGGCCUUCGGGUCGUAAAGCUCUGUCCUCAAGGAAGAUAAUGACGGUACUUGAGGAGGAAGCUCCGGCUAACUACGUGCCAGCCGCCGCAGUAA